rnacentral:rRNA from 1 species
UACAGAGGUCCCAAGCGUUGUUCGGAUUCACUGGGCGUAAAGGGUGCGUAGGUGGCAGUGUAAGUCUGAUGUGAAAGCUUCGAGCUUAACUCGAAAAUGGCAUUGGAUACUAUAUUGCUGGAGGUUUGGAGGGGGGACUGGAAUUCUCGGUGUAGCAGUGAAAUGCGUAGAUAUCGAGAGGAACACCGGUGGCGAAGGCGAGUCCCUGGACAACACCUGACACUGAGGCGCGAAAGCUAGGGGAGCAAACAGG